rnacentral:rRNA from 1 species
GACGAACGCUGGCGGCGUGCUUAACACAUGCAAGUCGAACGGAAAGGCCCUGCUUUUGUGGGGUUCUCGAGUGGCGCACGGGUGAGUAACACGUGAGUAACCUGCCCUUGACUUUGGGAUAACUUCAGGAAACUGGGGCUCAUACCGGAUAGGAGCUCCUGCUGCAUGGUGGGGGUUGGAAAGUUUCGGCGGUUGGGGAUGGACUCGCGGCUUAUCAGCUUGUUUGUGGGGUAGUGGCUUACCAAGGCUUUGACGGGUAGCCGGCCUGAGAGGGUGACCGGCGACAUUGGGACUGAGAUACGGAGCAGACUGCUACGGGAGGCAGUAGGGGAGAAUAUUGCACAAUGGGCGGAAGCCAGAUGCAGCAACGCCGCGUGCGGGAUGACGGCCUUCGGGUUGUAAACCGCUGUCGCCUGUGACGAAGCGUGAGUGACGGUAAUGGGUAAAGAAGCACCGGCUAACUACGUG